CGGAGGAAAAGAAACUAA
rnacentral:ncRNA from 2 species